UACAGAGGGUGCAAACGUUGCUCGGAAUCAUUGGGCGUAAAGCGCACGUAGGCGGCCUAGCAAGUAGGGAGUGAAAGCCCUCGGCUUAACCGAGGAAGUGCUUUCUAAACUACUAGGCUUGAAUACUGGAGAGGGUCGCGGAAUUCCCGGUGUAGAGGUGAAAUUCGUAGAUAUCGGGAGGAACACCAGUGGCGAAGGCGGCUCACUGGCCCGAUACUGACGCUGAGGUGCGAAAGCGUGGGGAGCAAACAGG
rnacentral:rRNA from 1 species